CGGUAAUGUAGGAUUUGCAAUUGCAUUUGGAUUAUGUCACAAUUUAUGCGUCCACAUAUUGAAAACGCAAUUGAAAAUACAAUUUGCUAUUCUAUUUAAAAAUUGUCCGGAAUAUCGUUCCAUAUGUAACACUUCAAAGAGAAAGGAAAAAUUGAAAUCGCAUCAUAUGACCUCUUUAAACACGUGAGGAUAUUUGUCUCACUCCAACCGCACAAUAUUCCUAUUUGCUGCAACACACUUUAAGGACUGGUAGUCACCCAUAUAGUGUCUGUAAAACUAUAUUUUUUCAUAUUUUCUAUAAAGUGUAUGUAGUAUGCGACAGGGUUGUAAUUGCAUUACAAUGAGUCACUGAAGGCUGGAUGCUUGUUGUGUCUGAUAAAUAAAAUACAAUUAAACUGCUAAAUUCAUAGGUACACAUCACAAAUUCAAUCAUUCUAAAUGUGUUCUUUUUUUAGCAGAAGAAACAAAAUUAAAAACAACAACACUGUGGACUUUGGAUUUUUCACAGAUGAAAAGUUGUUUGACUUUUUCUGCCAAAACAAGACAAAGAUGUCUACAAUAGAAGAGCCGUUGAUGUUUCUCCGACAUCUCAAGGACAAUAGACUCAUUACAGAUGAGCUUUAUCAAAAGCUUGAGAACACUGGUGAUGAUAAUGGUGUGUAUUGUGCAUUGGAUUAUAUUGAAAAACGUCGAAAGAAGAAUGUUAGAAAGUACUGGGAAUGUGUGGCCCAGGAGCAUAUAUUACAGCGUUACUCUCAACUCUCUGACAUCACUGCAGCUCUGAUGAACUCUCUUAAGAGUCAGCCAAAGAAAAAAAUAAGAGAAAGAGUUGAGGAUCGAGGCACAGGAAAAGAAAGAGAGGUUAAAAAGAGAAGGACAGAGAGCAACUCUGUGAGUGACCAAGCUGGACCAUCAUCACAAAGCAUUAGCAGCCAGAGGACGACAGAUAAACACGUGGAGAGAGAUCUUCAGAGCUCUUCAGACUCCAGCACAGAAUUGUCGUUUUUCCGUCCGUCCUUGCAUAGUAAAGCAGAGGAUCUUUGGAACAUGGAUAAACACAAGAAAAUGCUUCCUGUCACAUGUGGGAAUAAAAAGGCCUUAUUGGACAGAAAAGCAUUGUAUAAAAGAAAGAGGGACUGCAUUAAAUGUGGCAGAGAAAUGAUCUCCCCUUAUAUGUUUGAGGAAAUGGGUGGAAAAGAAUCAUGCAAGUCCUGGAAAACAAGUAUAUUAUGCCAAGGCACAACCCUCAAGAGUCUCAUUGAGAUGAAUAUUUUGAAGAUACCCAAACUUAAUGGAAAAUUUACCCUUCGUAAAUUAUAUAAAUGAUAUGUGCAUCACAUUAUUUAGCAUUUUCAAUCAGUCAAUAUACUGAGCUUACGAAUCCACUAAUUUUUCCACUUUUAAUAAAGUCAGUCAAUGAAUGAAAAGUGUUAGUGUGAAAUAAAGCUUC
rnacentral:lncRNA from 1 species